UCCCUGUAGCUCAGUUGGUAAAGAAUCUGUCUGCAACACAGGAGACCCGGGUUCGAUCCCUGGGUCGGGAA
rnacentral:tRNA from 1 species